GACGAACGCUGGCGGCGUGCUUAACACAUGCAAGUCGAACGGAAAGGCCCUGCUUUUGUGGGGUGCUCGAGUGGCGAACGGGUGAGUAACACGUGAGUAACCUGCCCUUGACUUUGGGAUAACUUCAGGAAACUGGGGCUAAUACCGGAUAGGAGCUCCUGCUGCAUGGUGGGGGUUGGAAAGUUUCGGCGGUUGGGGAUGGACUCGCGGCCUAUCAGCUUGUUGGUGGGGUAGUGGCUUACCAAGGCUUUGACGGGUAGCCGGCCUGAGAGGGUGACCGGCCACAUUGGGACUGAGAUACGGCCCAGACUCCUACGGGAGGCAGCAGUGGGGAAUAUUGCACAAUGGGCGGAAGCCUGAUGCAGCAACGCCGCGUGCGGGAUGACGGCCUUCGGGUUGUAAACCGCUUUCGCCUGUGACGAAGCGUGAGCGACGGUAAUGGGUAAAGAAGCACCGGCUAACUACGUG
rnacentral:rRNA from 1 species